UUGAACGCUGGCGGUAUGCUUAACACAUGCAAGUCGAACGGAAACGAUACUAGCUUGCUAGUAGGCGUCGAGUGGCGGACGGGUGAGUAACGCGUAGGAAUCUGCCUGAUAGUGGGGGAUAGCCCGAAGAAAUUCGGAUUAAUACCGCAUAAUCUAUUCGUAGUAAAGUGGGGGACUUUCGAGCCUCACGCUAUCAGAUGAGCCUGCGUAAGAUUAGCUUGUUGGUAGGGUAAAAGCCUACCAAGGCGACGAUCUUUAGCUGGUCUGAGAGGAUGAUCAGCCACAUCGGGACUGAGACACGGCCCGAACUCCUACGGGAGGCAGCAGUGGGGAAUAUUGGACAAUGGGGGCAACCCUGAUCCAGCAAUACCGCGUGUGUGAAGAAGGCCUGAGGGUUGUAAAGCACUUUCAAUUGUGAAGAAAAGUUAGCGGUUAAUAACCGUUAGCCUUGACGUUAACUUUAGAAGAAGCACCGGCUAACUCCGUGCCAGCAGCCGCGGUAAUACGGAGGGUGCAAGCGUUAAUCGGAAUUACUGGGCGUAAAGCGUGCGUAGGCGGUUUAUUAAGUCAGAUGUGAAAGCCCCGGGCUUAACCUGGGAACUGCAUUUGAAACUGGUCAACUAGAGUAUGGUAGAGGAAAGUGGAAUUUCUGGUGUAGCGGUGAAAUGCGUAGAUAUCAGAAGGAACAUCAAUGGCGAAAGGCAGCUUUCUGGACCAAUACUGACGCUGAGGUACGAAAGCGUGGGUAGCAAACAGGAUUAGAUACCCUGGUAGUCCACGCCGUAAACGAUGAUAACUAGCCGUUGGGGGGAUUUACCCUUUAGUGGCGAAGCUAACGCGUUAAGUUAUCCGCCUGGGGAGUACGGCCGCAAGGUUAAAACUCAAAGGAAUUGACGGGGACCCGCACAAGCGGUGGAGCAUGUGGUUUAAUUCGAUGCAACGCGAAGAACCUUACCUGGUCUUGACAUCCUGCGAACUUUCUAGAAAUAGAUUGGUGCCUUCGGGAACGCAGUGACAGGUGCUGCAUGGCUGUCGUCAGCUCGUGUCGUGAGAUGUUGGGUUAAGUCCCGUAACGAGCGCAACCCCUAUCCUUAUUUGCCAGCACAUCAUGGUGGGAACUAUAAGGAGACUGCCGGUGAUAAACCGGAGGAAGGCGGGGACGACGUCAAGUCAUCAUGGCCCUUACGACCAGGGCUACACACGUGCUACAAUGGGAAGGACAAAGAGCCGCGAAGCCGCGAGGUGUAGCUAAUCUCAUAAACCUUUUCGUAGUCCGGAUUGGAGUCUGCAACUCGACUCCAUGAAGUCGGAAUCGCUAGUAAUCGUAGAUCAGAAUGCUGCGGUGAAUACGUUCCCGGGUCUUGUACACACCGCCC
rnacentral:rRNA from 1 species